UACAGAGGGUGCGAGCGUUAAUCGGAAUUACUGGGCGUAAAGCGUGCGUAGACGGUCAUGUAAGUCGGGUGUGAAAGCCCCGGGCUCAACCUGGGAAUUGCAUUCGAGACUGCAUGGCUAGGAUGCGGAAGAGGGAAGCGGAAUUUCCGGUGUAGCGGUGAAAUGCGUAGAUAUCGGAAGGAACACCAGUGGCGAAAGCGGCUUCCUGGUCCAGCAUCGACGUUCAGGCACGAAAAGCGUGGGGAGCAAACAGG
rnacentral:rRNA from 1 species